rnacentral:tRNA from 1 species
GUCAAAGCAGCUCAGUUGGGCGAGUAUUAGACUGAAGAUUUAAAGGUCCCCGGUUCAAUCCCAGGCUUUGGCA